AGGUCAUGGAUCUUGAACGUCUUGAAAGUUUGGAAAUUGCUUAAUCUUAACUGUUAUAUUUUCAAGGUUAACAAUUUACAAUUUCAUUUAGCAGAAGCUUUUAUCCACAGUGAUGUACAUCUUAGAGCUGAUACAACACAAGCGAGGAUAUAUUCAGGAGACAACAACACGAUGCCGCUUACGGAUGAAAAUCCCACUCUUCGUGCAGUGAGGGGGUCACACAUGACAAGAUCUUUUCACCAGGAGGAAUCCCCAACGAGUCUGUCGGGUCAUGACAACAUACACGAGAAAUGACACAGGAAAUGACGCGGUACCACGUGCAAGACAGGAUUUCUUCCAAAAAUGGAUGUCUGCAAGAAAGCGGCGAUCCAAGAUGUUUGUGCGCUGAAUUGCAGCGAAUAAUUACAAGGAAGAGGAAGAAGAGAAUAUGGGUAAACGAAUGGAUUGGGUUACGAUUGUCCGUUGGAGACACCAUCAACAGAGGCAGAAUGGUGCAUAAUAGCCCGAGACUUUGAAUUGAAAUGGCAAUUUGCACAUCGCCUCGGUGCGCUUGAUGGAAAACACAUCAACAUACAACCUCAAGCAAAAAGUGGCAGCUUGUGGCACCGUAAUUAUAAGGACAGGUUCUCUGUGAUAAUGAUGGCUGCUGUGGAUGCAAAUUAUAAAUUCAUCUACACAAGUGAGGGUACCAGAGGUCAGGGUCUCAAGUGCUGGACUGUUCGCUCACUCUGACCUGCACAAAGCAGUGGACCGGAGUCUGCUGAACUUUCCUCCACCUGAGCGUUUGCCCAACUCCGACAUAAUGAUGCUGUACAUGCUUGUGGGCGGUGGUGAUGCAUUCCCUUCAAAUAUACAUACAUUUCCUUUGAAGCCGUAUCCAUUCAGGCAGAUGGACCACAGUCAAAGCAGACUAAGCUACCAUAUAAUCCACCACAUGCUCGGAGCCAGACAACAUGGUAAAGAUAACUAUGGUCUCCCUAUGCGUCCAUAGCUUCCUCCACGUGUACCAAAUGAAGUUUAAUUCCUAGCCUUGAGUUUGCAGACUGGGAGAAUGCUGACCACAACAUAGUUAAUGGAGCCUGGAGGAAUCAAGGGAUGGGGGGGCUUUACAGCUGGUGGAGCAUAGAAGGGAGCGCAACCCAACAGUCACUGCACAGAUGCAACAAAACCUGCUAUUUUAGGAACACGUUUUGUAUUGUAGGGAUGUCACAGCAGUUAUUUUUGUAAAUUAAGCAUUUUUUUCUUGUUAAAUAUGUGUUUGUUUAUAUAUGUUUUCACGUCUUUACCAAAUUACCUUUUAAGGACUUUGUGGUUUGAAAU